AACGAACGCUGGCGGCAUGCCUAACACAUGCAAGUCGAACGAGACCUUCGGGUCUAGUGGCGCACGGGUGCGUAACGCGUGGGAACCUGCCCUUAGGUUCGGAAUAACUCCCCGAAAGGGGUGCUAAUACCGGAUAAUGUCUUCGGACCAAAGAUUUACCGCCUUUGGAUGGGCCCGCGUUGGAUUAGCUAGUUGGUAGGGUAAAAGCCUACCAAGGCGACGAUCCAUAGCUGGUCUGAGAGGAUGAUCAGCCACACUGGGACUGAGACACGGCCCAGACUCCUACGGGAGGCAGCAGUGGGGAAUAUUGGACAAUGGGCGAAAGCCUGAUCCAGCAAUGCCGCGUGAGUGAUGAAGGCCUUAGGGUUGUAAAGCUCUUUUACCCGGGAUGAUAAUGACAGUACCGGGAGAAUAAGCACCGGCUAACUCCGUG
rnacentral:rRNA from 1 species